UACGAAGGGGGCUAGCGUUGUUCGGAAUUACUUGGCGUAAAGCGUGCGCAGGCGGUUUUGUAAGCCAGAUGUGAAAGCCCCGGGCUUAACCUGGGAAUGGCAUUUGGGACUGCAAGGCUUGAGUGCGGCAGAGGAGACUGGAAUUCCCGGUGUAGCAGUGAAAUGCGUAGAUAUGCGGAGGAACACCGAUGGCGAAGGCAAUCCCCUGGGCCUGGCACUGACGCUCAUGCACGAAAGCGUGGGGAGCAAACAGG
rnacentral:rRNA from 1 species